rnacentral:rRNA from 1 species
UACAGAGGUCUCAAGCGUUGUUCGGAUUCAUUGGGCGUAAAGGGUGCGUAGGCGGCGCGGUAAGUCGGGUGUGAAAUCUUGGAGCUUAACUCCGAAACUGCAUUCGAUACUGCCGUGCUUGAGGACUGGAGAGGAGACUGGAAUUUACGGUGUAGCGGUGAAAUGCGUAGAUAUCGUAAGGAAGACCAGUGGCGAAGGCGGGUCUCUGGACAGUUCCUGACGCUGAGGCACGAAGGUCA